GAUGAACGCUGGCGGCGUGCCUAAUACAUGCAAGUCGAGCGAACAGACGAGGAGCGUGCUCCUCUGACGUUAGCGGCGGACGGGUGAGUAACACGUGGAUAACCUACCUAUAAGACUGGGAUAACUUCGGGAAACCGGAGCUAAUACCGGAUAAUAUAUUGAACCGCAUGGUUCAAUAGUGAAAGACGGUUUUGCUGUCACUUAUAGAUGGAUCCGCGCCGCAUUAGCUAGUUGGUAAGGUAACGGCUUACCAAGGCGACGAUGCGUAGCCGACCUGAGAGGGUGAUCGGCCACACUGGAACUGAGACACGGUCCAGACUCCUACGGGAGGCAGCAGUAGGGAAUCUUCCGCAAUGGGCGAAAGCCUGACGGAGCAACGCCGCGUGAGUGAUGAAGGUCUUCGGAUCGUAAAACUCUGUUAUUAGGGAAGAACAAAUGUGUAAGUAACUAUGCACGUCUUGACGGUACCUAAUCAGAAAGCCACGGCUAACUACGUG
rnacentral:rRNA from 1 species